rnacentral:sRNA from 1 species
UAAUGUUACAGCACAUUUUGUGACUGUCUUACUCGCGAAAAUGCUAAUUAUUAGUAAGAGUACUGUAAGUGCUCCGUUUCGUUGAGGCAUCCUGUUUAGGAUGUUAUAACUUAU